CAGUAGCCGCGGUAAUACGGAGGAUCCAAGCGUUAUCCGGAAUCAUUGGGUUUAAAGGGUCCGUAUGCGGUCUUGUAAGUCAGUGGUGAAAGCCCAUCGCUCAACGGUGGAACGGCCAUUGAUACUGCAGGACUUGAAUUAUUGGGAAGUAACUAGAAUAUGUAGUGUAGCGGUGAAAUGCUUAGAGAUUACAUGGAAUACCAAUUGCGAAGGCAGGUUACUACCAAUUGAUUGACGCUGAUGGACGAAAGCGUGGGUAGCGAACAGGAUUAGAUACCCCCGUAGUCCCUGUCUCUUAUAC
rnacentral:rRNA from 1 species